rnacentral:rRNA from 1 species
UACGAAGGGGGCUAGCGUUGCUCGGAAUCACUGGGCGUAAAGCGCACGUAGGCGGAUCUUUAAGUCAGGGGUGAAAUCCUGGAGCUCAACUCCAGAGCUGCCUUUGAUACUGGGGAUCUCGAGUCCGGAAGAGGUGAGUGGAACUCCGAGUGUAGAGGUGAAAUUCGUAGAUAUUCGGAGGAACACCAGUGGCGAAGGCGGCUCACUGGUCCGGUACUGACGCUGAGGUGCGAAAGCGUGGGGGAGCAAACAGG